ACACUGCAGUCUGCUGUACUGGAAAUGACUUAUUUAUUCUACGUUCAUUCACAGCUUCUGUUUAUGGCAUAAUACCUUCUGAGAGUAGGCCAUUAUGACAACAAUGCCUCUGUUUCCUCCAGAUUCUUGGCUGUCACUAUCCUGACCUACCACCUGUGUCACAUCCCAUUAGGUUCUGUGGAUGAGGCAUGGUGCUUGGCACAGACUGACACAAGUUUGGGCAAACUUGGCAGAGCAGCCUAACCCAAAGCGAAAAACAGAAAUGAACCAAGAUACAACCUCUGUGGAAAACCCUACUGAACAAAAGCAACUCUGUGGAGUGUCCUCUCAGCUGCAAAUUGAGACAGAAUUGUGGGGCAAGCUUGGCCACUGAUGCAGAUUCUGCAGCUUGCUACACAGAAAGCCAGAGACCGAGAGCCAAUGACUGAGACUAUGAGUAUUGCCAAGGAAGAAGGCUUUAAUCGGGUGCUGCAGCUGAAAAGAUGAGAGCUCAGCCUCAAAUCCAUCUCCCUGACCAACUAAAGCUAAGGAUUUAUAUAGCAGGGAAGAAGACAGGAACUAGGAAGGGGCAAGGAAGCGAUCCUGAUGAAUGAAGGGUCAGGCAUUUCAUUGUCUGGAUGUGGCGAUCUGCUCACACUGGUCACACCUGGGACUUCCAACAUGAAUGCUUUUGUCACGGAUGCUGCGCUGCUGCUGUUUCUGGUUCUUACUCUGCUUACACCAAGGAGACUGAUGUCCCUGCUAUAACCCCACUUCCGAUGCAGACAGCAAUUCCAAUGCAUUGCAGCUUUCAGGAUUUUCUCACUGUGUUUUUGCCUCUCCUUUUCUUUAAGACAUGAGCAUUUGUCUACGGGGAUGGCCUGAAGUGUAGUCUCCAUUACCCAGAGUCAUCUCACUCUCUGACCUUGACUCAUGAUCUGAGAACAAGUGCUCCCCUGCUUGUCUUCCUGAGGGGCAUCUGUCCCUCUUGCAAACAGAUUUCCUUUGGGCUCUGUCAUUUAGAAAUGCCCUUAUUUAUCUGAAUUAUAGUUCCAGUUCAGAACAUUUACAAAGGAACAGAUUGCUCCCAAUUUUAAAGCAGGUAAAUUCUAAAAGUUGGCAAGCCAGUCAUUUAGAAUUUGAGCCUCAUAUUCCAUAGGUAUGAAAUUAUACAUAAUGAAAAAGUUCCCAGGGCAGCCCACAAAAAGCCUACUUAUCCAAAAUAAAGCUAACCUGAGUUAAUUCAGCUCUAUGGCCUAGCCA
rnacentral:lncRNA from 1 species